rnacentral:rRNA from 1 species
AUGAGCUACAGUGCCCAUGCCCCAUUUUGUCAGAUCUUGGAAGCUCAGCAAGGCCAGGUCUGGUUAGUAUUUGGAUGGGAGAUCAUUGCAAAUACCACAGUAGCUCUAU